UGUUAGCGGCGGACGGGUGAGUAACACGUGGGUAACCUGCCUGUAAGACUGGGAUAACUCCGGGAAACCGGAGCUAAUACCGGAUAGUUCCUUGAACCGCAUGGUUCAAGGAUGAAAGACGGUUUCGGCUGUCACUUACAGAUGGACCCGCGGCGCAUUAGCUAGUUGGUGAGGUAACGGCUCACCAAGGCGACGAUGCGUAGCCGACCUGAGAGGGUGAUCGGCCACACUGGGACUGAGACACGGCCCAGACUCCUACGGGAGGCAGCAGUAGGGAAUCUUCCGCAAUGGACGAAAGUCUGACGGAGCAACGCCGCGUGAGUGAUGAAGGUUUUCGGAUCGUAAAGCUCUGUUGUUAGGGAAGAACAAGUGCAAGAGUAACUGCUUGCACCUUGACGGUACCUAACCAGAAAGCCACGGCUAACUACGUGCCAGCAGCCGCGGUAAUACGUAGGUGGCAAGCGUUGUCCGGAAUUAUUGGGCGUAAAGGGCUCGCAGGCGGUUUCUUAAGUCUGAUGUGAAAGCCCCCGGCUCAACCGGGGAGGGUCAUUGGAAACUGGGAAACUUGAGUGCAGAAGAGGAGAGUGGAAUUCCACGUGUAGCGGUGAAAUGCGUAGAGA
rnacentral:rRNA from 1 species